GCAUUGGCCAUUCAGUUGUAGAAUUCUCACCUUCCAUGUGGGAAACCAGGGUUUGAUUCCCAGCCAAUGCA
rnacentral:tRNA from 1 species